AACGAACGCUGGCGGCGUGUUUAAGACAUGCAAGUCGCACGGUGUCAUUUUGGUAGCAAUACUUGGAUGGCACAGUGGCGCACGGGCGAGUAACAUGUGAAUGACAUGCCCUUCAGAGGGGGAUAGCCCAGGGAAACUUGGAUUAAUACCCCAUGGUCUCGCAAGAGUAAAGGUGGCCGCAAGGCUGUCGCUGGAGGAUUGGGUCGCGUUCUAUCAGCUUGUUGGCGGGGUAACGGCCCACCAAGGCUACGACGGAUACCCGGUCUGAGAGGACGAUCAGGCACACUGGAACUGAGACACGGUCCAGACACCUACGGGUGGCAGCAGUCGAGAAUAAUUCACAAUGGGGGCAACCCUGAUGGUGCAACGCCGCGUGGAGGAUGAAGGUCUUCGGAUUGUAAACUCCUGUCAUCCGGGAGCAAGACCUGACGGUGAAUAGCCGGCAGGGUUGAUAGUACCGGAAGAGGAAGGGACGGCUAACUUCGUGCCAGCAGCCGCAGUAACAC
rnacentral:rRNA from 1 species